ACAUAUGCCCUGCCUUCCCACACCCCCAGCAUCAGCAUGCUCUCCAUCCCUGGAGACGUUGUUUAGCCUCUCCUCCUCUGUGACUCAUGCCUCACCUCCAGCCAGAGCUGAUUUAGUAGUUCCCUCUCCUCUGCUCCCAUAGUACAUUGUCCAGGCCACCGUUAGGAAAUAGAAUACAUUCCCAUCGUCAGCAUCUGCAUCUUACCAUAUCAUUAGAUUGAUGCCUGGAUCAAGGGCCUAAGGGAGCAGUCAGGGCCAGAU
rnacentral:lncRNA from 1 species